UAAGAAGCAGCACAGAUUUGUCCUCACU
rnacentral:piRNA from 1 species